ensembl:lncRNA
AUGGAGGACACCGCUAAUGAGUUUGAUGAAGAGAAAGUCAAGGGUGACUUAUCAAGCACUAUUAUGGAUGUAGAGAUUAGUGGUCAUGCGCCUAAGCUACGAAAUGCUAGAAAAGGAAAGCUUGCCCACUUAACGAAAAGAAAAAAUAUAAUGCUUGAACUUAUGGAAGAUGCUUUGUGUGUGCAAGAAGUGAAAGAAAAUUUGAAUAAAUUUGUGAGUCUAUUGGAUGAUUUUAAAUCUCUACAUGAAACCUAUCAGGAGUCGUUGUCAGAAGAGGAAGCAAGGCAAGAUGAAGUAGAAUGGUUUAAACCUAAAAUGGCGGACAUUAACACUUUUCUCUCUUCUGUUUCUGAGUGGCUGUCUGGAGUAUCUAAGGCUGUGGAACCUCAGGAGAUUGAAGUUGCCCCUAAAGACAGCAUAUCUCAAAUUUCCAGUCAUGAAUCCAAAUCAAGAGUGUUUUCAGUUGCAUCUGCAAGUCUACAGGUGGAAGCAGAGAGAGCUGCAGUUUUAGCAAAGGUGGCUGCACUCAGAGAAAAACAUGACUUGGAGGAUAGAGAAGAAGCACUUAACAAAGAGAGGCAAGCAUUAAAGAAAAAACGUGAAGUUCUGGAGCUGAAAGCACAGCUAGAUGCCUCAUCAGCCAAACUCGCAGUUUUGAAGUCCGCUGGUAAAUAUUACGGAGCCUCAGCAGCAACAGGCUUAACAUCUAAUCCUUACGACGUGAACGUGCCAAGGGAAUCCUAUCUUGCUGAGAUGUCAUCAAAGAGUUAUGCUUCAGAGUGCGAAUUCCUUUCUUUGGAUAAGGUCGCUAAAGCCCUUUCUGUUGUGCAAACCCCAAGUGUUCGUCCCAAGGAUAUUCAACCCAGUCCUAGCCCACAGCGUUCAAAUGGCCACAAUGCAAUCAGGAAGAAAGCCAAGGAGGUUCAACCACCUGGUCCAGGUAAUCUCCAUGCACAGUCAAACCUAGCCACAGGCAGUGCAUCUGACCAGUCUUCAGAUCAGUCUUCAGAGUCUGUUGCGAGUUCUGGUGUACAUCUGAGCAGCUUGGUAAACAUCCUUCAACGCCAAAACGACAUAACAUCCCUUCUAGUGAAGCAGCAUCAGCUUUCAAGUCUUCCUCAGAGAGAAAUCCCAAUCUUCGAUGGUGAUAUUCUGAAGUACAGACCAUUCAUAAGAGCUUUUGAAUAUGGCAUUGAGCUAAAAACGGAUAGCAGUGCUGACCGACUGUACUUUCUUGAUCAAUAUACCAGUGGCUUUCCCAGAGAUCUGGUAAGGAGUUGUCUUCAUAUGACCCCAGAUAAAGGUUAUGAAAGAGCAAGAGAUUUGCUACAGAAAAACUUCGGAGAUGAAUUCAGCAUGUGUUCUGCUUAUAUGAAGAAAGCAUUAGAAUGGCCUACGAUUAGACCUGAGGAUUCCAAAUCUCUGCAAGCUUUCGCAAUAUUUUUGAGGAGCUGUUGUAAUGCAAUGGCGGACAUGAGUUACUCACAUGAAAUUAACUUGUCAUCCAACAUGAAAGUCUUGGUCUCGAAACUUCCUUACAAGCUGAGGGAAAGAUGGCGAUCAAAAGUGUGGGAAUUUCAAGAAACCCAGAACAGUAGGCCUCAAUUUAAAGAUCUUGUCCUUUUUGUUGAAAAGCAAGUGAGAGUGGUUUCAGACCCAAUAUUCGGGGAUAUUCAAGAUAAACCCCUAAUCAAAACUAAAGACAAGUUCCCCACUAAAGUCAAACCGAAGUCUGGUGGAAGUACCUUUGCAACUAAUGUUUCUGCUCCUGCUUUCCAUUCUACUCAGCAAUCCUCUGACAACCAUUUGAAAGUCUUAUGUCAUUUGUGUAGCAGCAGCAAUCACACGUUGGAGCAGUGCAAGCUAUUCGAGAAAAAGAAGCACAGGGAAAAGGUAGAAUUCAUCAAAGGAAAAGGAAUCUGUUUUGGGUGCCUACAUCAAGGUCACAUCAGCAAAUACUGUAGGAAGAGGCUCACUUGUACAUCAUGUUCUAAACAGCACCCAAGCGUCCUUCACAUUGAGCAAACAGAGCAAAAGGUAAAGCAUGAAAAGAAAAUUGACACAAAAGAAACCGUGAACUCCUCCGCCGUUGCGCAGCCAGCCGGUGGGCAUAUUGGGGCCAGUAUACAGGAUAAUGUCCUUUCAGUGGUUCCAGUAAGAGUCAAAGCUGCUAAAGGUGACAAAAUCAUCUCAGUCUAUGCUUUCAUUGACCCUGGAAGUUCCGCUACCUUUUGUACCGAACGUCUGAUGUCUCAGUUGAACAUCAAAGGUAAAAGAACUAAUAUCCUGUUGAAGAUAAUGACAAUGAGUCACGAGAAGUCCAUGCCAACUUAUGUAAUCACAGGAUUAGAGAUCUCUGGAUUGGAUAAAACCAAUUUCAUACAAUUGCUUGAUGUAUUUACACAAAAGGAAAUGCCAGUCACCAUGGAAAACAUACCCACCAAAAAAGAUCUUGCUAGAUGGCCAUACCUGCAAAAGGUUGAUAUCCCUGAGAUUAACGGCAACAUUGAGCUACUUAUAGGAACCAAUGCCUCAAAGGUCAUAGAGCCAUGGGAGAUUGUAAACAGUCAAGGUGGGGGCCCUUAUGCAGUCAAGACUUUAGUUGGUUGGGUAGUCAAUGGACCCUUAAGAGGAGGGAAAUCCAGCAUAAGUUGUGACUCUCCAUCUGCUGACAUAAACAGAAUAUCUGUAGCAAAUUUGGAAAAGCUUCUGAUUAGUCAGUACAAUCAUGACUUCAAUGAAAAGGCCUCAGAUGAAAAACGCGAAAUGUCAUUUGAUGACAAAAGUUUUCUUAAAAUUGCAAAUGAAUCAAUCUCACUAUUGGAUGGACACUACACACUCAACUUACCAUUUAGGAAAAAUGAUGUGAUAAUGCCCAACAACCGUCACAUGGCCAUGCAACAUCUUCUGAGUCUGAAAAGGAAAUUUAAGAGAAGUGAUUUAUUCCAUAAAGAGUACACAUCCUUUCUCAGUGACAUGAUAGAUAAAGGAUAUGCUGAGGUGGUCCCACAGGAAGAGGUGGAUCAAGUGGAGGGAAGAACCUGGUAUAUUCCACAUCACGCAGUCUACCACCCUAAAAAGAAUACACUUAGAGUUGUGUUUGACUGUGGUGCAACAUAUCAAGGUGUGUCCCUGAACACGGAACUGUUGCAAGGGCCUGAUCUUACCAAUUCAAUGGUUGGAGUCCUGCUUAGAUUUUGUCAAGAACCCAUUGCAAUGAUGGCGGACAUAAAGUCUAUGUUCCACCAGGUAAGAGUCUCAAAGUCAGAUGUGAACUAUUUACGCUUCCUGUGGUGGCCAGAAGGGGACAUUGAGCAAAGUCCUAUAGAUCAUCGCAUGUUGGUGCACCUUUUUGGAGCGGUCUCUUCUCCAAGCUGUGCUAGCUUUGCCUUGCGGAGAACAGCAGAAGACAACAGUUGUUUUAGACCUCUAGUAACCAAGACAGUAAUGCAUAAUUUUUAUGUUGAUGAUUGCCUAGUGUCUCUGCCCACGGCACAGGAAGCAGUGCAACUGAGAUCAGACUUGGUGGAUUUGUGCAGCUUGGGAGGGUUUCAACUCACCAAAUGGGUGAGUAAUAGUAGAACCGUCUUGUCUGCCAUUGAGGAGGAGCAAAGAGGGAAGAACAUUAGGUCCUUAGAUUUAGAUAAGGACAAACUACCAGUUGACCAUGCCUUAGGACUUCAAUGGAACGUGGAAGAUGACACCUUUAGAUUUACCAUCAUACUCAAUGAAAAACCCCAUACCCGUAGAGGUAUUCUCUCCAUGGUGAGCUCUGUCUUUGAUCCUCUUGGACUUUUGGCACCCCUCACUCUUCCAGCCAAACAAUUUUUACAGCAAUUGUGCAAAGAAGGCUAUGGAUGGGAUAAGCCGAUAUCCACGUCUCAAUUAAGACAAUGGCUAUGUUGGAUUCAUGACCUCCCCAAGUUGGCGGCCUUCAGUGUGCCACGCUGUAAGAAACCCAAUGGAUUUGGUAAG